rfam:Candidatus Levybacteria bacterium CG2_30_37_29 cg2_3.0_scaffold_17_c, whole genome shotgun sequence.
UUUUUUGAGAAUUUGAUCCUGGUUCAGGAUGAACGCUAGCGGCGUGCUUUAGGUAUGCAAGUCGAACGGCUCACUCUUUUUGGUUAGUAUUUGAUACGAUAGUUGUAUGUACUACGUAUAUGUUUUAAAAAGCCAAAAAUACAAAACUAUUAAAAUCUAUAUUGGAUUUACUUCAGAUUUGAAAAGACGAGUUGAGCAGCAUAAUAGUUUAGAAACAAAAUCAACAAGGUUUGGGAUUCCCUGGAAGCUUGUUUAUUAUGAAGCGUUUUUAAACAAAAUAGAUGCUGUACAACGCGAAUUACAAUUAAAAACAGGAAGUGGUUCAAUUGGCUUUUUAAAACGUAGAAUUAAAAAGUCUUUGGAUACUAGUUGAAAAGAGUGAGCAGUGGCAGACGGGUGAGUAACGCGUAAGAAUCUACCUUUCAGUGGGGCACAACAGUCCGAAAGGAUUGCUAAUUCCCCAUAAUAUCUCCGGAUUAAAGGACUUAACUGUCCGCUGAAAGAGGAGCUUGCGCCCUAUCAGCUUGUUGGUGAGGUAAAGGCUCACCAAGGCUAUGACGGGUAGCUGGACUGAGAGGUCGGCCAGCCACAGGGGCACUGAGACACGGGCUCCACACCUACGGGUGGCAGCAACCAGGAAUAUUGGGCAAUGGACGGAAGUCUGACCCAGCGACGCCGCGUGGAGGAUGAAGGUUUUCGGAUCGUAAACUCCUUUUGCCAAGCCUUUCACAGCUUGGAGAAUAAGCAUCUACUAACUACGUGCCAGAAGUCUCGGUAAUACGUAGGAUGCAAGCGUUAUCCGGAUUUAUUGGGCGUAAAGAGUGUGUAGGCGGUUUUUUAAGUCGCGAUUUAAAGCCUGUGGCUUAACCACAGUGUUGGUCGCGAUACUGAAAAACUAGAGGGAUGUUUGGGGUACAGGAACAGUUGGUGUAGCGGUGAAAUGCGUUGAUAUCAACUGGAACACCGAAGGCGAAGGCAUGUACCUGUAACUCUCCUGACGCUGAGACACGAAAGCUAGGGUAGCGAAACAGAUUAGAGACCUGUGUAGUCCUAGCCGUAAACUAUGGAUGCUAGAUACCCCGGAACCAAGUGCAUAAACUUGGAAUUUUCAAUUUUAAAUUUUUAAUUUACAAUAAAUGUUUCAAUGUUUGAAAACUUCAAAUUCACUGAAAAUUGUAAAUUGAGAAUUGGAAAUUUCCAAAAGCUGUGCUUUUGGUUUUGGGGUGUCGUAAGCUAACGCGUUAAGCAUCCCGCCUGGGGAGUACGGCCGCAAGGCUAAAACUCAAAGGAAUUGACGGGGACCCGCACAACCAGUGGAGCGUGUGGUUCAAUUUGAGACGAAACAAAAAACCUCACCAAGGUUUGACAUGCUAUCGUUUUAUACUUUAUGAAAGUUUAGUAGAUCUAUAGAAAUAUAGAUGAUAGCACAGGUGUUGCAUGGCUGUCGUCAGCUCGUGCCGUGAGGUGUUCCCUUAAGUGGGGAAACGAGUGCAACCCCUAUCCUGUGUUACAUAUCACAGGAGACUGCCCCGACUUUGUCGGGGAGGAAGGCGGGGCGGACGUCAAGUCAGCAUGACCCUUAUACCUUGGGCUACACACACACUACAAUGGCGAAAAACAAUGGGUUGCAAGCUCGCAAGAGCAAGCUAAUCCCUCAAAUUUCGCCUCAGUUCAGAUUGGGGUCUGAAACCCGACCCCAUGAAGUCGGAAUUGGUAGUAAUCGCGGAUCAGCGUGCCGCGGUGAAUACGUUCUCGGGUCUUGUACAAAUUAAAUGCGCCUGGCAGUUUAAUAAGUCUCGCUGAUAGUUUUCAGU